CUCCCUCCUUUCCUCCUGCUCCCCUCCCCUUCCCUUCCCCACCGCCUGCGCAGGCAGGAUGCGCGCAGCGCCGCCAUCCCGCAGCGGGAGCCGCGCAUGGCGGGGCGCCGGGCACCGCGCUCCCCGCGGCGGCGGCGGCGGCGGCGGCGGGCGACAAAGUUUGUUCCGAGCCGCGCUGAGCCGAGCCGAGCUGAACCGAGCCGUGCUAAGCCGGGCCGGGCCGAGCCGAGCCGAGCCGAGCCGGGCCGGGCCAGGCCGUGGUGCCGCCCGCCCGCCGUGCGGCUGAAGCGCGGCGGGGCGGGGGCGUGCUGGCGCUGGGGGUGGGGGGUGCUGCGGCCGGCGAUUGGGCGGCGCGGCGCUCGGAAGCACUUUGUUUUCUAUUCUAAUGAGGGCGGAGCGGGGCUUGUGGAUAUUUACGUUGAGGCGGGAGCCGCCGCCCUUCAUUCACCCACAUGGUCCCCGAGCCCUGCCGCCGCUGCCGGGACCGGGACCGGGACCGGGACCGGGACCAGCACCGGGACCGGCCUUGGCGCCGCUUCCCCCCCCGCCCCCCAUCCGCCCCGCCGGGCAGCGGCGGCGCUGCCUCGCCUCGCCUCGCCCCGCAGGGAGGAGGAGGAGGAGGAGGGAAGAUGGUGGCGGCCGCCGCUCGCUCGCUGCAGGCAGAAAGCGAGGAGCUCGGCGGUGGUUUCGCAGUGUGGACACGUGCGGCGGGAGGUAACGAGGCUUGCUGGGGAUGUGGAGGUAGAGGAUUCGUGGAGAAAGUUGCUUUUUUUUGCAGAAAAGGCAGGUACAAAGUAG
rnacentral:lncRNA from 1 species